rnacentral:misc_RNA from 1 species
UUGCUAGAUUAAGCCUAUUCCUCUUAGUUAAGACUAAGAGAGGCUAUUUGAUUUUAUAUAAUGGAUCACAAUACAACCUGCGGCUAAGUCUAGGAUAGAUUUCUCAAGAAUUGUAUGUCUCAAGAAUUGUGUGUGGAUCAAUAAAUAAGAAGCAAAUGAAACCUAACCAGCCAUGUCCUCACUUGAGAAUGAAAGAACCAGCAACGUAGAUAACCCAUGUCAAAGCUGUUCCAAUCACACAGGUCUUGGCUGGCAUUUUUCCAUUAUCACUUCUUAAGACCAUGGCUUCAUAGACUGGCCAACUGUUCGCUACUGCGAAUGCCGAUAAGAAUAUUUGGAUAGCUAGUCCCUCCAUGUUCCUCCCGCCCUUCACAAUUUCAGAUAAACCCCAAGCAAAUGAGACCAAGUUCAUUAGAGCUGCCAUUACUAAGGGCACAAACAUGGGUGAUGCUACUCCAAACUCAAACAACCCUUGCUCGUAUCUUUUGCUUAGUUCAUCAUCAACUGCUUUGCUGGUCACGUUGAACCCACUUGUGGAUAUUCCUAAUGAAUUUAGGAUGAACUCAACGAACCCAAACAUGAAACUUGAUAGUCCUCUUAUAUUCCACAUUCUUUGAUCAUUCCACCACAUGUGUACUGUUCCAUUAGCCAAUACAAAAUCUAUGAGAUCCUGUAUAUAGACCCCUAGGAAAAUGAAUGCGUACAGGAGAAACCAUGGUGAUUUAACCUGUGGGAAGAUGGAAAGAUUGUUCAGGAGGGCUAGCUGGGGGAGGAAGGCAUAUAUGGUAAUUGGAAUAGACCAGAUGGCCCAGAACCCAAG